rnacentral:lncRNA from 1 species
GGCGCGAUCAAUCCCAUCUUGACUCGUACUCAGACUUCACAAGUAUUUAACUGUAUCCAAAAAUCUUCCGUCAUCCAAUUAAAAAUUCGGAUAGUCCGGCACCAAAGCACAGUGUGUUGCUUGCAAGUCACCGAGACAGCUUCAGGUCCGAGAGACACCCAUAUCCCAUCAGAGCAACCCUUGACAGCAGAGUGCUCUGGAAGUGGUCAUGCUCAGUAAAAUGUACUCCUACAUAUCAUCCGUAUGUCAUAUCCGUAUCACCACACGUCUUGGUUAAGAGGACAACCAACUAAUAUGGUAUAUAACAACCUACACUUGAUACAAUUAUUGUCCUUGUAACAAUUGUAUUAUUUGAUUGCGAGCAGGAUUUAAGAACCACAUGAUAAAUCCUCCUUUAUCAUUUUGAAAGUAAUUCUAAGGACUUCAUCAUAACAUAUGAGUUCUAUUUUAGAAGAUAUAUUUCUUAAAAUGAAUCUGUCAGAUAACAUUUAUCAUUCUAUAAUUCAUAUACUUAUAUGGAGCACAAUCAUCUACAACCUAGAUGAUUGGCUUUAGGACAUAUUUCCCAAUAUAUAUCAUGGCAAUCCAAAUAAAGAUGAAUUAGAUCAAAUUGAACCUUUCUAUUACAAUUACCAUGUAAUCAAAUCUUUCUAUCAUACAAUGUCCUGAUUGAAUGAAGGCCGUGAGAUUUUGUCAAACCUACUGAUUCAAUUAUAUGUCCAAUCUAAUUGAUCAUGACAUUUAAUAGUUACUCUUGGAACUACCUCCAAAUACCAUUCCACUUUGGCUAAAGAUUCCUUAGGUCAAGUCUAUUAGAUGCAUAGGACAUUCUCUCUCUUUACUUCAGAGUGA